GGGUAAGAAUUUGAGAAGAAGAGUCGUAGUUGUUUGUGCCGCGAAAAAGAGAAGACAGAGAAAAAGGUCAUCAUCGACGGAACAGGCACGGAGGUGAAUUGCCAAUCAACGACAGAUCUAUACCACUUUUCACUCCCCCACUCCAAUUUCUCUUCUCAUCUCUUCGUACCUUUCACCUUUCAAUUUCUCGGCCCUCAAACUCUUCCACCCAAUUCCGUUUACCUCAUUUCUCAAUUCCACCUUCUCACUCUCUCCUAUGCCGUUUAUCAUAAACCCUAACGUAACGUUUCUCUUCAUUUCCCUUUUCCUCUAGGGUUUCGCCCAAUCCCCAACUCUCCCAACCCCCACUGGACAUGCUUGUUCUCCGAUGGCCGUCGUAACUAGCAACGGCAAGCGCCGCCAGCAUUGGCUCUCCGUGGGUCACCACCUUCCAUCUCCCAAUUCCAAAAGGCUCAGACUGUCGGCAACAUCCGACAACCACGCGCACUCUGUGUUAUCCUCGAGUAGUAUCGUUUCCAGAAUUUCCAAAUAUCCUGAAGCCAAGCCACUGGUGCGUAGGGAGGUUCACGCACCGUGUAGACCCCGUAAGUUUGACUUUCCUACCUUUAAUAGAAUGAAAUCGAGUUUGAAUGCCAGUGGUAGUUAUUAUGAUCGCAAGGACGAGAUUGUUAAUGAUGUGGGCAACACGCUGAAUGAAAAUUACGAAAGGGCGAAGAAUUCAGCGUUAGCUAGCAUUAGGUUUGGGGAAAAGGGUAAGGAGGUGAUAGAAGUGGAUGAUGGUAGUCCCAAGGGCAUGGUUUCCGAAGAUUCAGGUGUGGAGGAAGUUCAUUUUAGGGAAGAUGGACGGGAUGUGCGCUCUGUGGUGACGGAGCACAAGUGGCAAGAGGGUGAUUUGGUUGUGACUGAAGUGAAGGAUAUGAAAGCUAAGGAUGUGCGUGGCGGUCCUCAGCAGCAGUCAACUUCAUCUGUGGUUUCGGAAUUGACUAACGGCGAUUUGAAUGUUGUUAAUGCUGUGAAGAUGUUCGGCACUCUGUCUUUAACUCCCGAACGUGAUGUUUCGGAUGUUCAUGCCUACAGGAAGUUGCUUGAGGCUGUUGACAAGCGCUCGGAUACGCUUAAGAGGCUGUCGGCUGAAAUUAAGCUUAAUGAGAAGCGUAGGUCCACAUUUGAAUUGUUGCGCCCGAAGAAGGAACUAGUACAGGAAGUGCCCUUUGAACCUUUUAUUCCUCUUACUGAAGAGGAAGAAGUUGAGGUCACACGUGCCUUUUCUGCCAACAGGAGGAAGAUCUUGGUUGCCCAUGAGAAAUCUUGCAUUGAGGUCUCAGGAGAAAAAUUUCAAUGCCUUAGACCGGGUGCAUGGUUAAAUGACGAGGUAAUAAAUUUGUACCUUGAAUUGCUAAAAGAAAGGGAGAGAAGAGAGCCCCAGAAGUUUCUGAAGUGUCAUUUUUUCAAUACUUUUUUCUACAAGAAGUUAAUAAGUGGCAAGAAUGGUUAUGAUUUCAAAUCUGUGAGGAGAUGGACCAGCCAAAAGAAACUGGGAUAUGGUCUACAUGAAUGUGAUAAAAUUUUUGUUCCUAUCCAUAAAGAGAUCCAUUGGUGUUUGGCCGUUAUCAAUAAGAAAGAGAAGAAAUUUCAGUACUUGGAUUCACUGAAAGGAGUAGAUACCCAUGUGAUGAAAGUUCUGGCUAGCUAUAUUGUAGAUGAAGUAAAGGACAAGACUGGAAAAGAUAUGGAUAUAAGUUCUUGGGAAAAAGAAUUUGUUGAAGACCUUCCUGAGCAGCAGAAUGGGUAUGAUUGUGGGGUUUUUAUGAUCAAAUACGCUGACUUCUAUAGCAGAAACUCGGGGCUGUGUUUCAACCAGGAACACAUGUCGUACUUCCGGCGCAGAACAGCUAAAGAAAUCUUGAGAUUAAGAGCUGACUGAGCUAAAGAAUGUUUUAUCUGUAUUUCCCCAAUGGAUUUUAGUCAUCAGAAAUCUGAAACAGUCAUUACGUCAAAUCAGUUGAUCACUUUCUGAUGAAGUAUCCUUCACUUCAGUUGAUCUUGGCCAUAACCAUUCAAAAGUUCUGGCAUUUGUUAGAUUGUGGACUGGACUUAUUAUGCACAUCGUCCUGAUAUCCAGGGAGAUGAAAGCUGAUAGAGGAGUUUGCACACCAAGGAGCAUAGGUUCUGGAAUGUCCCAAACAUGUGGAUCCUCUUCUCACUUAGUUUCAAAAAUGUGUGGUUGUGGGGAAAGAUUGUUGUUAUUGAAGGCAACUACAUUGAAGAACAAAGGGAGACUAUUUUAUAGAUGUAGAAAUUGGGCAGUAAGUGAGAAGAAAUGCCUUAUUUUUUGUGUUGAUAAUUGUAUUUGUGAUUCGUAAUUUUUUUUUGCAGAGUAAUUCAACCUGUAACUUCUUUGAAUGGGUUGAUGAAGGAGCUUUUGAAAUUGAAGAAAGAAGGAANAGUGAAGAAGUUGAAGUCUGUAUUGAAAAUGUUGUGUCUGAUCUAAGGAAGAAGAAGGAGAAGUUGAAGAAGAAAUUAGAGCAAGAGAGAAAAAAUUUCAAAAUCAUGUUGGUGUUUUUUGUAUUGUCAUGGGCAUUAACAGCAAUGCUUUCUAUUAUGUUUGUCUUGAAGAUAAAUUGUAAUUAGAUAGGUAAUGUUGUGUUGUGGAUGUACUUUGAAGUUUUUAAUUCAAUAAAAUGUGGAAGUUCAGUUCAAGCCUAGUUAAA